rnacentral:tRNA from 1 species
UCGUGCAGCAGGUGCGCCAGGCGCACCCCGGCGGUCCCGGCGCCGGAGACGACGCCCCGGCUCGGGCCACUGCCGUUCCACAGCACCGCGCGGG